rnacentral:rRNA from 1 species
UACAGAGGGGGCAAGCGUUGUUCGGAAUUACUGGGCGUAAAGGGCGCGUAGGCGGCCAGCACAAGUCAGUUGUGAAAUCUCCGAGCUUAACUCGGAAAGGUCAACUGAUACUGUGCGGCUAGAGUGCAGAAGGGGCAACUGGAAUUCUUGGUGUAGCGGUGAAAUGCGUAGAUAUCAAGAGGAACACCUGCGGCGAAGGCGGGUUGCUGGGCUGACACUGACGCUGAGGCGCGGAAAGCUAGGGGAGCGAACGGG